GUAGGGAAUAUUGCGCAAUGGGGGAAACCCUGACGCAGCGACGCCGCGUGAGUGAUGAAGGCCUUCGGGUCGUAAAGCUCUGUUGCAGGGGAAUAAAAAAAUGAAGGUACCCUGUGAGGAAGGAUCGGCUAACUUCGUGCCAGCAGCCGCGGUAAGACGAGGGAUCCUAGCGUUGCUCGGAAUCAUUGGGCGUAAAGCGGGCGUAGGUGGCUUGGUAAGUCAGGUGUGAAAGCCCAGGGCUCAACCCUGGAAGUGCAUUUGAUACUGCUGAGCUUGAGUGUCGGAGAGGUUACCGGAAUACCUGGUGUAGUGGUGAAAUACGUAGAUAUCAGGUGGAACACCGGAGGCGAAGGCGGGUAACUGGACGAACACUGACACUGAGGCCCGAAAGCGUGGGGAUCAAACAGGAUUAGAUACCCGGGUAGUCC
rnacentral:rRNA from 1 species